rnacentral:rRNA from 1 species
AUUGCACGCUGGCGGCAGGACUAACACAUGCAAGUCGAGCGAGUGGCGGACGGGUGCGUCAUGUCUGGGGAUCUGCCUGAUGGAGGGGGAUAACUACUGGAAACGGUAGCUAAUACCGCAUACAAUCAGAUGAACCCAUAUGGGAUUAGCUUGUCGGUGAGGUAACGGCUCACCUAGGCGACGAUCCCUAGCUGGUCUGAGAGGAUGAUCAGCCACACUGGGACUGAGACACGGCCCAGACUCCUACGGGAGGCAGCAGUGGGGAAUAUUGCACAAUGGGCGCAAGCCUGAUGCAGCCAUGCCGCGUGUAUGAAGAAGGCCUUCGGGUUGUAAAGUACUUUCAGUCGGGAGGCGUUACCGACAGAAGAAGCACCGGCUAACUCCGUGCCAGCAGCCGCGGUAAUAC